rnacentral:rRNA from 1 species
UACGUAGGGUGCGAGCGUUGUCCGGAAUUACUGGGCGUAAAGAGCUCGUAGGUGGUUUGUCGCGUUGUUCGUGAAAACCGGGGGCUUAACCCUCGGCGUGCGGGCGAUACGGGCAGACUUGAGUACUGCAGGGGAGACUGGAAUUCCUGGUGUAGCGGUGGAAUGCGCAGAUAUCAGGAGGAACACCGAUGGCGAAGGCAGCUCUCUGGGACGGUACUGACGCUGAGACGCGAAAGCGUGGGGAGCGAACAGG